rnacentral:rRNA from 2 species
ACUAAGCGUACACGGUGGAUGCCCUGGCAGUCAGAGGCGAUGAAGGGCGUGCUAAUCUGCGAUAAGCGCCGGUAAGGUGAUAUGAACCGUUAUAACCGGCGAUACCCGAAUGGGGAAACCCAGUGUGAUUCGUCACACUAUCAUUAACUGAAUCCAUAGGUUAAUGAGGCGAACCGGGGGAACUGAAACAUCUAAGUACCCCGAGGAAAAGAAAUCAACCGAGAUUCCCCCAGUAGCGGCGAGCGAACGGGGAGGAGCCCAGAGCCUGAAUCAGCAUGUGUGUUAGUGGAAGCGUCUGGAAAGGCGCGCGAUACAGGGUGACAGCCCCGUACACAAAAGCGCAUGUGCUGUGAGCUCGAUGAGUAGGGCGGGACACGUGGUAUCCUGUCUGAAUAUGGGGGGACCAUCCUCCAAGGCUAAAUACUCCUGACUGACCGAUAGUGAACCAGUACCGUGAGGGAAAGGCGAAAAGAACCCCGGCGAGGGGAGUGAAAAAGAACCUGAAACCGUGUACGUACAAGCAGUGGGAGCACAGGUUUACCUGUGUGACUGCGUACCUUUUGUAUAAUGGGUCAGCGACUUAUAUUCUGUAGCAAGGUUAACCGAAUAGGGGAGCCGGAGGGAAACCGAGUCUUAAUUGGGCGUUAAGUUGCAGGGUAUAGACCCGAAACCCGGUGAUCUAGCCAUGGGCAGGUUGAAGGUUGGGUAACACUAACUGGAGGACCGAACCGACUAAUGUUGAAAAAUUAGCGGAUGACCUGUGGCUGGGGGUGAAAGGCCAAUCAAACCGGGAGAUAGCUGGUUCUCCCCGAAAGCUAUUUAGGUAGCGCCUCGUGAAUUCAUCUCCGGGGGUAGAGCACUGUUUCGGCUAGGGGGCCAUCCCGGCUUACCAACCCGAUGCAAACUGCGAAUACCGGAGAAUGUUAUCACGGGAGACACACGGCGGGUGCUAACGUCCGUCGUGAAGAGGGAAACAACCCAGACCGCCAGCUAAGGUCCCAAAGUCAUGGUUAAGUGGGAAACGAUGUGGGAAGGCCCAGACAGCCAGGAUGUUGGCUUAGAAGCAGCCAUCAUUUAAAGAAAGCGUAAUAGCUCACUGGUCGAGUCGGCCUGCGCGGAAGAUGUAACGGGGCUAAACCAUGCACCGAAGCUGCGGCAGCGAACGUAUCACUUAAAGCGAUUCAGCGGGUUACGAUUGACGGAGCGAAGCGACGUCAAAGCGUAUACAAAGUCGAGUCGGUUUAAGGAUACGUUCGUUGGGUAGGGGAGCGUUCUGUAAGCCUGUGAAGGUGGCCUGUGAGGGUUGCUGGAGGUAUCAGAAGUGCGAAUGCUGACAUAAGUAACGAUAAAGCGGGUGAAAAGCCCGCUCGCCGGAAGACCAAGGGUUCCUGUCCAACGUUAAUCGGGGCAGGGUGAGUCGACCCCUAAGGCGAGGCCGAAAGGCGUAGUCGAUGGGAAACAGGUUAAUAUUCCUGUACUUGGUGUUACUGCGAAGGGGGGACGGAGAAGGCUAUGUUGGCCGGGCGACGGUUGUCCCGGUUUAAGCGUGUAGGUGUGUGUUCCAGGUAAAUCCGGUUCACUUUAACACUGAGGCGUGAUGACGAGGCACUACGGUGCUGAAGCAACAAAUGCCCUGCUUCCAGGAAAAGCCUCUAAGCAUCAGGUAACAUCAAAUCGUACCCCAAACCGACACAGGUGGUCAGGUAGAGAAUACCAAGGCGCUUGAGAGAACUCGGGUGAAGGAACUAGGCAAAAUGGUGCCGUAACUUCGGGAGAAGGCACGCUGACACGUAGGUGAAGUGAUUUACUCAUGGAGCUGAAGUCAGUCGAAGAUACCAGCUGGCUGCAACUGUUUAUUAAAAACACAGCACUGUGCAAACACGAAAGUGGACGUAUACGGUGUGACGCCUGCCCGGUGCCGGAAGGUUAAUUGAUGGGGUCAGCGCAAGCGAAGCUCCUGAUCGAAGCCCCGGUAAACGGCGGCCGUAACUAUAACGGUCCUAAGGUAGCGAAAUUCCUUGUCGGGUAAGUUCCGACCUGCACGAAUGGCGUAAUGAUGGCCAGGCUGUCUCCACCCGAGACUCAGUGAAAUUGAACUCGCUGUGAAGAUGCAGUGUACCCGCGGCAAGACGGAAAGACCCCGUGAACCUUUACUAUAGCUUGACACUGAACAUUGAGCCUUGAUGUGUAGGAUAGGUGGGAGGCUUUGAAGCGUGGACGCCAGUCUGCGUGGAGCCGACCUUGAAAUACCACCCUUUAAUGUUUGAUGUUCUAACGUGGACCCGUAAUCCGGGUUGCGGACAGUGUCUGGUGGGUAGUUUGACUGGGGCGGUCUCCUCCUAAAGAGUAACGGAGGAGCACGAAGGUUGGCUAAUCCUGGUCGGACAUCAGGAGGUUAGUGCAAUGGCAUAAGCCAGCUUGACUGCGAGCGUGACGGCGCGAGCAGGUGCGAAAGCAGGUCAUAGUGAUCCGGUGGUUCUGAAUGGAAGGGCCAUCGCUCAACGGAUAAAAGGUACUCCGGGGAUAACAGGCUGAUACCGCCCAAGAGUUCAUAUCGACGGCGGUGUUUGGCACCUCGAUGUCGGCUCAUCACAUCCUGGGGCUGAAGUAGGUCCCAAGGGUAUGGCUGUUCGCCAUUUAAAGUGGUACGCGAGCUGGGUUUAGAACGUCGUGAGACAGUUCGGUCCCUAUCUGCCGUGGGCGCUGGAGAACUGAGGGGGGCUGCUCCUAGUACGAGAGGACCGGAGUGGACGCAUCACUGGUGUUCGGGUUGUCAUGCCAAUGGCACUGCCCGGUAGCUAAAUGCGGAAGAGAUAAGUGCUGAAAGCAUCUAAGCACGAAACUUGCCCCGAGAUGAGUUCUCCCUGAGACUUAGAGUCUCCUGAAGGAACGUUGAAGACGACGACGUUGAUAGGCCGGGUGUGUAAGCGCAGCGAUGCGUUGAGCUAACCGGUACUAAUGAACCGUGAGGCUUAACC